rnacentral:rRNA from 1 species
UGAGGAAUAUUGGGCAAUGGACGAGAGUCUGUACCAGCCAUGCCUCGUGAAGGAUGAAGGCGUUUUGCGUUGUAAACUUCUUUUGCGGGGGAAGAAACCUUGAUAUUCUUAUCAAGCCGACGGUACCCUGAGUAUAAGCACCGGCUAACUCCGUGCCAGCAGCCGCGGUAAUACGGAGGGUGCAAGCGUUAUCCGGAUUUACUGGGUUUAAAGGGUGUGUAUGCCGAGUAUUAAGUCAGCGGUGAAAUCUCCAGGCUCAACCUGGAAACUGCCAUUGAUACUAUUAGUCUUGAAUAUUGUUGAGGUGGGCGGAAAGGGUCAUGUAGCGGUGAUAUGCAUAGAUAUGACCCGGAACACCGAUUGGGAAGGAAGCCCAAGAAGCAAUGAUUGACGCUGAGGCACGAAAGCGUGGGGCUCAAACA